GUUGCGAUGGCCGAGUGGUUAAGGCGUUUGACUUGAAAUCAAAUGGGAUCUUCCCGCGUAGGUUCGAAUCCUACUCGCAACG
rnacentral:tRNA from 1 species